GAGUUUGAUCGUGGCUCAGGUUGAACGCUGGCGGCAUGCCUUACACAUGCAAGUCGAACGGCAGCACGGGAGCUUGCUCCUGGUGGCGAGUGGCGAACGGGUGAGUAAUGCAUCGGAACGUAUCCUGGAGUGGGGGAUAACGUAGCGAAAGUUACGCUAAUACCGCAUAUUCUGUGAGCAGGAAAGCGGGGGACCUUCGGGCCUCGCGCUCUUGGAGCGGCCGAUGUCGGAUUAGCUAGUUGGUGAGGUAAAGGCUCACCAAGGCGACGAUCCGUAGCAGGUCUGAGAGGAUGAUCUGCCACACUGGAACUGAGACACGGUCCAGACUCCUACGGGAGGCAGCAGUGGGGAAUUUUGGACAAUGGGGGCAACCCUGAUCCAGCCAUGCCGCGUGAGUGAAGAAGGCCU
rnacentral:rRNA from 1 species